rnacentral:rRNA from 1 species
GAUGAACGCUAGCGGCAGGCCUAAUACAUGCAAGUCGAACGGUGUAGCAAUACACGGUGGCGCACGGGUGCGUAACACGUAUGCAACCUACCUUACAUUGGGGGAUAGCCUUUCGAAAGGGAGAUUAAUACCGCAUAAGACAGUAACUGGGCAUCCAGUAGCUGUUAAAGAUUUAUCGAUGUAAGCUGGGCAUGCGUCCAAUUAGUUAGUUGGCGAGGUAAUGGCUCACCAAGACGAUGAUUGGUAGGGGAACUGAGAGGUCAAUCCCCCACACUGGCACUGAGAUACGGGCCAGACUCCUACGGGAGGCAGCAGUAGGGAAUAUUGGGCAAUGGGCGCAAGCCUGACCCAGCCAUGCCGCGUGCAGGAAGAAGGCGUUAUGCGUUGUAAACUGCUUUUAUACAGGAAGAAACGACCCUUGCGAGGGGCAUUGACGGUACUGUAUGAAUAAGCACCGGCUAACUCCGUGCCAGCAGCCGCGGUAACAC